rnacentral:rRNA from 1 species
AUGUGCCAAGUCCAUGAACAUGCUAAUACACCUACAAUGACCACAAAACAAUGGAAGGAGAAAACCCUAGACACUCCACCCCUGCGGGUGGUGGCCGUCAUUCAUGUGAGUGAGAGGGAGCACACAAGUGAAAACUCAACCACAGUGAGAGGAAGAAAAAGAAGGAGAGAUUCUGUCCAGAUUUGCUGCAUCUCACUAGACAGUGUUCAAGCUAUUGAUUGGAGGCUCGAACGUGCUUGGAUCGACCCCAAACUUGGUGCGCUCGUUUCUUACUUUGAGUACUUGAUAUGGUUAGCUGGUUUGAGGAUUGGGUCAGUAGAGCAUCAGAUUUGA